rnacentral:rRNA from 1 species
GGGCCCGCACAAGCAGUGGAGUAUGUGGUUUAAUUCGAAGCAACGCGAAGAACCUUACCAGGGCUUGACAUCCCACUAACGAAGCAGAGAUGCAUAAGGUGCCCUUCGGGGAAAGUGGAGACAGGUGGUGCAUGGUUGUCGUCAGCUCGUGUCGUGAGAUGUUGGGUUAAGUCCCGCAACGAGCGCAACCCCUACGAUUAGUUGCUACCGCAAGGAGAACUCUAAUUGGACUGCCGUUGACAAAACGGAGGAAGGUGGGGACGACGUCAAAUCAUCAUGCCCCUUAUGUCCUGGGCUACACACGUACUACAAUGGCGGUUAACAACGGGAAGCAAAACAGUGAUGUGGAGCAAAUCCCCAAAAGCCGUCCCAGUUCAGAUUGCAGGCUGCAACCCGCCUGCAUGAAGCAGGAAUUGCUAGUAAUCGCGGAUCAGCAUGCCG